UCUUCCACCAAACCUCCCCCGCCCCCCGCCCCACUCCCAGCCUUCCUUGCUUCAGAAACUUCUCUUUGCUGACUGCCGAAAUCUGAAACCCAAGAAUGUCUUUUGAAAGUCUAAAUCUCCUUAUGAUUUGUGGUGCUCUCCAGGCACAGGGCCCUUCCCUGGGAUCAUCGAUGUGUUUGGAAGUGGUGGUGGCCUUUGUGAAUACAGGGCCAGCCUCCUGGCCAGACAUGGUUUUGCUGUGCUUGCUCUCACGUAUUUCAGAUUUGAAAACCUCCCUGAAUAUUUGAAUGAUGUGCACCUGGAGUACUUUGAAGAAGCCAUAGACUUCAUGCUGCAGCAUCCAAAGGUGAAAGGCCCUAGUGUUGGGCUUCUUGGCUUCUCCAAAGGAGGUAACCUGUGUCUCUCAAUGGCCUCUUUCUUGAAGGGCAUCACAGCCACUGUCCUUAUCAAUGCCUGUGUGGCCAACAUGAUAGCUCCUCUGCGUUACAAGGAUAAGAUUAUUCCUAAUCUCGGCAAUGACCCAGGGAAACAUGCGAUCACUGAGUCAGGCCUUUUGAAUUUCAUGGAUAUUUGGAACAAUCCACUGGAGGAACCCAACCACCAAAGUCUUAUUCCAUUGGAAAAGGCCCAAGGGCCCUUCCUGCUUACUGUUGGCAUGGAUGAUCAUAACUGGAAGAGUGAAUUCUAUGCUCAUAUAGCCUCUGAACGGUUACAAGCCCAUGGGAAAGACAGGCCCCAGAUAAUCUACUAUCUAGGUACUGGUCACUAUAUUGACCCAGCUUAUUUUCCUCUUUGUAGAGCCUUUGUGCAUGCAUUGUUGGGCCAAGCAAUAUUCUCUGGAGGUGAGCCAAAGGCUCACGCAAGGGCACGGUAGAUGCCUGGCAGCAAAUUCAAACUUUCUUCCAUAAACAUCUCAAUGGUAAAAAACCUGUCAAGCCCAGCAAAAUAUAACAUUGUAAUCAUAGACCAGAUACUACUAACGAAAAUCCUAUUCAUACAAAUAUUAGGUUUUCGAGAGCACCUGGCAAACUUUUUGUAACAAAGCAACCAUCUUGGCUUCCUUGUCAGGUCCUACUGGAAUGAAUCCUACUGGAUUCUCAUUCUUUGCAACCCUCAUUUCUUCAUUGCUGGGUCCACCCCUGUCUCCCCUGAACUUUACCCAAUGUAUAGGCUUAACCCUGAUCUUCUCUGUAGGACCAAGCUUAACUUUAAGCAGAAGAAAUGAAAGAAGUGCCUGCCCAACUCUCAAUUGCUAGCCUGGCUUUGGCCUUGUGUUCUGGUUCUGAAAGCUGAGCUUCUGUAUUGCUAGGGCUCCCAGAUCCCCUUUGGGCCCUUAAUGACCAUGUCUGAGCCUUGGGAACCUGCCUACUCGAGUCUCUUAAGGAGUAGACUCUGCUUCAUUCUUGCCAAUACACAUUCCUGAACAUACUUUACAAAAUAAAGUUGAAUCCUUUACGACAAAAUUUGUUGUGAGCAAAACAGUAUAUUGAUAAAUAUUGUUGAUAUAUGUCCUCUAUAUUUACCAUCUGUCUGAAUUCUCAGUCUCAGUACUUGCCUGCCUAGGGGAACACCUUGAUGCCAACUGAUUUUCGGGACUAUACCCUGUGGGCCACUGCCUUAAUCUUUGGAUGUCAUGUUAUACCUGCCAAAUCAGAGUUCCUCCCAACACCAUCUGCUCCUAUUCCCUUCCUACUGGGAAGGAUUGGGGUCAGUCUGACUCAACCCAUUGCGAUGUACUGGGCACUAUCUAGAGUCAUAAGAGACCAGAGCAGAAGGUCUUCCCUAAGCGCAAGAAGAUGUUUCUGAGACACAUGACAUAGUUUGCUGGGCACAUACAAAAUCUUUCACCAAUUUGAGUCUAUCCAAGCAAAUCCUCAUUAGAUCUUAACUAAUGAAAAGAAGGAUUCCUUAGAGGUAACUUAAUUUUGACCAACUGUUAAAAAUACGUGUCAAGUGUAGUUAUUCACUAUGUAGUAUAAUUUCCUGUGAUGUGAAUUCUUGGAGCCUCUCUUUAACUCACUUCCAGGUGGUCCUGCUACCCUAGAGAUGCCUGUGGGAUGGGGGGGUCACAGGAAGAAGUUGUAAGGAAAGUGGCUGGGAGGGUGAGAGAAGAGGGCCAAAAGGUGGCACCAGAAGCUAAGCAUGAGGAUGACAACUAAACAUCUCUGUGUACUAAAGCACUAGGUCUCAAUUUCUUCCUUACUAAUAAAAUAGCCUAGAAAUGCCCUGCACUGACUAAUAUUUGGUCACUUUCCCCUCAAAGUUGACUAUAUGUAGCCACCUGUCUCUAAGAUUUCAAAAAGAAUUUCAGGUUGUUACAAAGCUACCUAAAAUAUGGUAAAGGUGAAUUAGAAGGGAGAAAGAGAAAAAGUUUCCAUAAAAUGGAGCCAGAAAUGAGGCAAAUACAAUAGUGCUUAUUACGCAGGCAUAUAUACUUGCCUUGAUUGGGCCACUCAUUCAGUCAUACGUUUUCUAGUGGUUUAUGCAAAGGAGUAAACCCAAUCAGUUACACAAAAUUUACAGCAUUCAUAAAAUAAAAGCAAAGCUUAAAAAUCUAUUUCUCCCACUAAGAAACAUUAAAUGAUGUAAAGGGUAGUGUAUCCUCAAGGAUGUGUCUACAGUAGAUGUAAAUCCCAGCCUCCACCACUUACUGUGUGACCUCGGGUAAGUUAUUAACCUCUCUAUGCCUUUACUUCCUCAUCUAUAAAGCGGGGAUAAUAAUAAUAGUGAUAAUAGAAACUACCUCAUUGCGCUGUUGUGAUUAAAUUAGAUAAUCCAAGUAAAGCACUUACCAUAUUUAAACUCUCAAAUAUUAGCUCUUAUUAUUUCAGAUGAGGAAACUGAGACCCAGGAAGGUUAAGAAAUACACCUGGUUGAUGGGAGAACUGGGUCAGUCCAAACUCCGAAGCCUAUGGCCUUCAUUGACCAUUUGGCUCUACUGCCUUCCAGCCUGAGGAGACAUGCUCGAAUAGUGCAGAGCUGCCUGAUGAGGAUUACUGGAAAGUUAAGGGUAGGUUAGGGUCACGUAACGGAGGCUCCAUAAGCCAAAUUGGAGAGUUCAGAUUUAAAAUGAUAA